UACGUAGGGAGCAAGCGUUGUCCGGAAUCAUUGGGCGUAAAGCGCGCGUAGGUGGCUUCGUAAGUCCGUUGUGAAAGCCAAAGGCUCAACCUUUGAAAGCCGAUGGAUACUGCGGAGCUAGAGUACGGAAGAGGCGAGUGGAAUUCCUGGUGUAGCGGUGGAAUGCGCAGAUAUCAGGAGGAACACCAAUAGCGAAGGCAGCUCGCUGGGACGUGACUGACGCUGAGACGCGAAAGCGUGGGGAGCAAACAGG
rnacentral:rRNA from 1 species